UACGUAGGGGGCAAGCGUUGUCCGGAAUUAUUGGGCGUAAAGCGCGCGCAGGCGGUUUCUUAAGUCUUGUGUUUAAUCCCGGGGCUCAACCUCGGUUCGCAUGGGAAACUGGGAAACUGGAGUGCAGGAGAGGAAAGUGGAAUUCCACGUGUAGCGGUGAAAUGCGUAGAGAUGUGGAGGAACACCAGUGGCGAAGGCGACUUUCUGGCCUGUAACUGACGCUGAGGCGCGAAAGCGUGGGGAGCAAACAGGAUUAGAAACCCCCGUAGUCC
rnacentral:rRNA from 1 species